UUGGCAUAGUGGUCAGAGCGUCCGCCUGAGAUGCGGGAGGAUGCAGGUUCAAACCCCCUCCGAGUCUUGCCAUAG